UACGGAGGAUCCAAGCGUUAUCCGGAAUCAUUGGGCUUAAAGGGUGCGUAGGCGGUUUUGUAAGUCAGGGGUGAAAGCCCAUCGCUCAACGGUGGAACGGCCAUUGAUACUGCAAGACUUGAAUUAUUGGGAAGUAACUAGAAUAUGUAGUGUAGCGGUGAAAUGCUUAGAGAUUACAUGGAAUACCAAUUGCGAAGGCAGGUUACUGCCAAUAUAUUGACGCUGAUGGACGAAGGCGUGGGGAGCGAACAGG
rnacentral:rRNA from 1 species